rnacentral:rRNA from 1 species
UACAGAGGGGGCAAGCGUUGUUCGGAAUUACUGGGCGUAAAGGGCGCGUAGGCGGCCUGUUAAGUCGAACGUGAAAUCCCCGGGCUCAACCCGGGAACUGCGUCCGAUACUGGCAGGCUUGAAUCCGGGAGAGGGAUGCGGAAUUCCAGGUGUAGCGGUGAAAUGCGUAGAUAUCUGGAGGAACACCGGUGGCGAAGGCGGCAUCCUGGACCGGCAUUGACGCUGAGGCGCGAAAGCCAGGGGAGGCAAAACGGGG